rnacentral:misc_RNA from 1 species
UUUCCGUAGGUGAACCUGCGGAAGGAUCAUUAUCAAAACAGCGGACUUCGGUCCUUGCUGCACCCUUGUCUUUUGCGUACCGUAUGUUUCCUCGGCGGGCUUGCCUGCCGGUUGGACAUUAUCAAACCUUUUUGUAGUUGCAAUCAGCGUCAGAAACAAAACAAUAAUUACAACUUUCAACAACGGAUCUCUUGGUUCUGGCAUCGAUGAAGAACGCAGC